ensembl:lncRNA
UAUUUUUUCCUAGUAAGGAAGCAUUUAACUUUCAGUGGAGCAACUGUCCAUAAGAAAUAAAUGUUUUGAUCAUUGGAAGGAGUUCCUUUGCUGUAUUAACUGCUCAUGAUUUGUGUUAGGCAAAGCCAAUUUUCUCAGUAUGAUUUUGACAUACCUCCUCUUUUGUGUGGUGUGAGUUUAAUGCUUUAGUAUUAACCGCUGUGAGUAUCAAAUUAAGAUAUUCUUAACCAAACAAUUUUUUAUUCACAUCUCUAUUUUUGUAUAUUACCUUAUUUAGCCCCUUCUCCCUUUAGCCUCACCAUGGUGAUUUUGAAAGGGAUAGUAUAUAAUCAAGUGAAAGCAUUAUUUGUGUAGGUUGAGGGACAACCUAGGAUAUUAUGAUUUCCUCUCUUACUCCAGUGCAGUGUUCUGAAUUUGCUUUGACUGUAGCGGAGCUCACAGUAUAUCUGAUUCUAGACGGCAUUAUGCAUUUGUACCUUCUGUUGAUGUUAAAUCCGUGUUGAAGGUGCUGAUGCCUUCAAAAGUUGGACCUCUGAUUCUUUUCUCUCAAAACAAAGCUUUCUGCCUUGUGAGCCUUUUGGGCUUAGUAUGGAUGGAAUGACCAUUCAGAGGUCCUAUUUGGCUUGUAUUGUUCUCUGCUGUUUGUUUCCCAUCCAGUUUCAACUUAGCAAAAUAAUCUAAAAAUGUGGCAUAGGCUUUGAUUUAUACUGUUGACACAAUUAGUGACAAAUAAUUCUGCCACUCAUCUUGGGUACCGGAGCUUUGUUUCGUUUCAGCUCCAAGAAAAACCAUGCCAUUGGGAAUCCCAGCUGUAACAAAGAAUCUUUCUCACAGUAAAAGAUACCUGAGAAAACAUUGAAAAAGCUGAAUGGACUCCAGGCUACUACAAUUGAUCUCUGGAUCUGGUGCGCUGAGAGUUUGCUCAGCUUCAUUCUAGGUAUCUGGAAAUGGUGGUAGCUGUUCUUCAGGCUCUUCCUUGUUGUUGAAGAAGCUUGUUUGUGUUCUCCAGCAGGACUGAUAUGGAAGCUUUAAUCGCUGUUUGUCAUUGUCUUAAAGCCAGCUGGUGUCUCUUGUUCAUCAACUUUGGUAAGAUGGUGCUUUGCAAGGAUGUAUUUAUAUUAUAAUGACCAACAUUUGGUCAACCCUAUUCACUCAUUCACUAACUUUUUUUUUUUUUUUCUUUUUGUAAAAUAAAGUGCUUUACUUAUGAGGUGUAUAUAAACCUUGUACAAAAAUCCUUUCCAAUAAUUACUAUAAACUGAGUUGUAACAAAUGAAAUGUUGAUUUUUAUAAUAAAACUAAGAGUGA